GAGAAAGUAGUCACUGCUCCAACUUUGGGAGUCGUUCUCAGUGAUGGGAUUUUACCUUGGCCUUCAGUUGCACUUCUCCCACAUUCUCAUCGAAGUGGGGGAAAUAGUUGCCCGCGUUCUUUAAAAUUUUGCCCAUCUGUGGAGUGAAGAAAUUGGUAUCUUGCUGCGAGUUUAUUUUGCGUUUAACUACUGGACGUUUGCGUUCCUUUUUCGAAUGCAUUAAAUUAGGAAAAAACAUGAAGAUACAUUCCGUGGACCAAGGAGCAGAGCACAUGCUGAUUCUCUCAUCAGAUGGAAAACCAUUUGAGUAUGACAACUAUAGCAUGAAACAUCUAAGGUUUGAAAGCAUUUUACAAGAAAAAAAAAUAAUUCAGAUCACAUGUGGAGAUUACCAUUCUCUUGCACUCUCAAAAGGUGGUGAGCUUUUUGCCUGGGGACAGAACCUGCAUGGGCAGCUUGGAGUUGGAAGGAAAUUUCCCUCAACCACCACACCACAGAUUGUGGAGCACCUCGCAGGAGUACCCUUGGCUCAGAUUUCUGCCG
rnacentral:lncRNA from 10 species